UCAUGUAGCAUCCCGUCCCAUUGCGACCCUCUUGGUGUGCCAAACAACCCUAGGGCUUCACAAUCCGAUGCAGUAACGAUCUUCUUCCUCGCUCGCUCUACCCUCGAGAAUGGAGAAAUAGGGGAGGGCGACACAGAGUGGCUUCUCUCCGUUUCCUCUAAUGGCGCACCGUGCUGCUAAACGCUCCAAGCUGAACCAGAGAGGGGAGGAUGAUUACUUGCCGGGCAACAUCGUAGAGAUCGAGAUCCACAACUUCAUGACCUACGACCACCUCAAGUGUCAGCCCGGCUCCCGCCUCAACCUGGUCAUUGGUCCCAAUGGCUCCGGAAAGAGUUCCCUUGUCUGCGCCAUCGCACUAGGCCUCGCUGGAGAGCCCCAGCUUCUUGGAAGAGCUUCUAGUGUGGGGGCAUUCGUGAAGCGGGGUGAGGAGUCCGGUUAUAUAAAGAUAUCUUUGAGAGGGGAGACUGAGCUGGAGAAGAUUGUCAUUACGAGGAAGAUUGACACAUCGAACAGGUCUGAGUGGGCCAUUAAUGGUGUGGCGGUGCCAAAAAGGGAUGUUAUUACGAUUAUUCAAAAGUUCAAUAUCCAAAUUAACAAUUUGACGCAAUUCUUGCCCCAAGAUCGUGUAUGCGAGUUUGCUAAGCUGACGCCAAUACAACUAUUAGAAGAAACAGAAAAAGCUGUUGGUAAUCCUGACUUGCCAGUCCAGCAUCAAGAACUUAUUGAGAAAAGUGGUCAAAUCAAGAAACUUGAAGUGAGUGUCAGGCAGAAUAGAGAUACUCUAAAUCAGCUUAAGACCCUCAAUGCUGAGCUAGAGAAAGAUGUAGAACGUGUUCGCCAAAGGCAGAAACUUUUAGACUUCGUUGACUUGAUGAAAAAGAAACUUCCAUGGCUUAAAUAUGACAUGAAGAAAAUGGAAUAUAUGGAAGCAAAGAAACAGGAGACUGAAGCUAAGAAAAAGAUGGACAAAGCUGCUAAAAUUUUGAAUGAUCUUAAAAGGCCUAUAGAGGAAUGGAAGAAAGAGAAAGCAAUGCAUGAAUCAACUAGCAAGAAAAUAUGCAAUCAAGUAACUGACAAUGCAAAGAAACGCAUGGAAGUUUUUGAGCGGGAAAGUGAAAUGGUGGUGCAAGUGCGAGGAAAAUAUGCCGAAAUGGAAGAGCUAAGAAGGCACGAAGAAUCUUGUCAACAAAGGAUCACAAAAGCAAAAGAAGAUCUUCUUGCUGCUGAAAAGGAGCUUGCAGAUAAUCCAAUUUAUGAAGCUCCAACAGAUGAAAUUGAAAGAAUAGGUAAUCAAAUACUUGAGCUCCGAAUUAAUGCAAAUGAAGUGAAAUCUCAAAGGAAAGAGAAAGAAAAUAUCUUACUUCAGAAGAAAUUGAUCUUGAAGCAGUACAUUGACAGGUUAAAGGAGAUGGAAAACAAUAACAACAAACUUCUUCAAGCUUUACGAAAUUCUGGUUCAGAUAAAAUAUUAGAGGCUUACAAGUGGGUUCAAGAGCAUCGAAGUGAGCUAAGGAAAGAAGUAUAUGGACCUGUUCUCCUUGAGGUAAAUGUUCCGGAUCAGCUUCAUGCCUCCUACUUGGAAAGGCAUGUGCCUAACUACAUAUGGAAGUCAUUCAUUACUCAGGAUUCAGCAGAUAGAGAUUUCCUAGUUAGAAAUCUUAAAUCAUAUGAUAUCCCAAUUCUAAAUUAUGUGGAAGGUAGAGGCAUCAAUAGAGUGCUCUUUCAAGUUUCACAUGAGAUGCGUGAGCUUGGUAUCUACAAUAGGCUUGAUCAAGUUUUUGAAGCUCCUGAUGCUGUUAAAGAUGUUUUGAUUAGCCAGGCUGCCUUGGAAAAAUCUUACAUUGGUUCACGUGAUACUGACCGGAGGGCAGAUGAGGUGUCACGUCUAGGAAUAUUGGAUUUGUGGACUCCAGAGAGUCACUAUCGAUGGUCCAUGUCAAGAUAUGGUGGCCACAUCUCAGCAUUAGUCGACUCAGUCCCUCCCUCGCGUCUUUUCUCGUGCAGUGUGGAUGUUGGCGAUUUAGAAAACCUCAAGUCUACGAAGGUUGAGCUAGAACAAGUGAUUGGGGAACUGGAAGGUAGCUUGAAAAUGCUUCAGGCACAACAGAGACAAUUAGAAGAUGAAGAAGCUAAUUUGCACAAACAACAGGAUCAAAUAACCCAAUCUUACAAACUUGCGAAGAAGAAGCGCUGUGACCUGGAACGUCUUGUUGUACAAAGGAGAUGCAAACUUGAUUCCCUCAACAAAGAGGAUGACCUGGAGUUAGGCACAAAAAAGCUUCUUGAUCAAGCUGCUAAGUUGAACGAGAAACGAUUCCAAAUGGCAAUUAAAAUUAAAAAUUCACUGAUUGAGGCAGUUGCUCUCAAAUGGAAAUGUGCUGAGAAGCACAUGAUGUCGUUGGAGCUUGAUGGAAAGAUCAGAGAAAUGGAGACUGAUCUCAAGCAACAUGAGAAGUCUGCUUUGGUAGCAACUACACAUUUUGGCAAUUGCAAAAAAGAAACUGAGCAGUGUAAAGAACAACUCCGUGAUGCAAAGCGUCAUGCUGAAUCUGUUGCAAUUAUCACUGAAGAUCUUGGUCAGGAAUUCUUGAAGAUGCCAGGUACAAUAGAGGAACUGGAAGCUGCAAUCCAAGAUAAUAUAUCUGAAGCAAACUCGAUUCUGUUUCUUAAUCAGAAUAUUCUUGAAGAAUAUGAAAAUCGUCAAUGCAAGAUAGAUGCCAUAGCAGCUAAACUUGAGGUGGAUGACAAGGAACUAAGUAGAUAUCUGCGGGAGAUAGAUACUUUAAAGGAAAAUUGGCUUCCCACAUUGCGGAAUCUUGUUGCCAAGAUAAAUGAUACUUUUAGUCGUAACUUUCAAGAGAUGGCUGUUGCUGGCGAGGUUUCACUUGAUGAGCAUGACAUGGAUUUUGACAUGUAUGGAAUACUUAUAAAAGUGAAGUUCAGACAAUCUGGACAACUUCAAGUGCUGAGUGCCCAUCACCAAUCUGGAGGGGAGCGCUCGGUUUCAACAAUUCUUUAUCUUGUUUCACUUCAAGAUCUUACAAAUUGCCCUUUCCGCGUGGUUGAUGAGAUAAAUCAAGGAAUGGAUCCUAUAAAUGAAAGAAAAAUGUUUCAACAACUUGUCAGAGCAGCCAGUCAACCGAAUACACCUCAGAUAAUACCACAAAGUGUUGAUGACGCUGGUAUACCCGUAGGUGUUUUUUGCUGACGCCAAAGUUGCUUCCUGAUCUGGAAUACAGUAAUGCUUGUAGCAUUUUGAAUAUCAUGAAUGGCCCCUGGAUCGAGAAACCUGCUAAAGUGUGGAGCGGUGGUCAAUGUUGGAGAGCGGUGAUGGGUUUGACAGGAGAAAGCGUCAGUUGAAUGUUACUGGCUUUGGUGAUGGAUCCCUUUAUGAAGCCUUCAAAGGCCUUCUCACAGUAGUUCUCGUGUUUAAUUUGUAAAUGAAUCACAGUAGAGGUUUUGUGUUUUGGUGCAAUGCAGCAAUAUCAAUUGCAUGUGAAAUAAUUAAUUCUAACUUUUUAUUGUGCAUUUAAGUCUUGUAAGAUUUGCCGCAAGUUUAUUUGUGUGAUUGAUGCUGAAUUAAUGAUUGAUCAUUCAUUUUAAGCUGGGACCA